AGCGAACGCUGGCGGCAGGCCUAAUACAUGCAAGUCGAGCGGUCCCUUCGGGGGCAGCGGCGGACGGGUGAGUAACGCGUGGGAACGUGCCCUUUGGUACGGAACAACUGAGGGAAACUUCAGCUAAUACCGUAUGUGCCCUUCGGGGGAAAGAUUUAUCGCCAUUGGAGCGGCCCGCGUUGGAUUAGGUAGUUGGUGAGGUAAAGGCUCACCAAGCCUACGAUCCAUAGCUGGUCUGAGAGGAUGAUCAGCCACACUGGGACUGAGACACGGCCCAGACUCCUACGGGAGGCAGCAGUAGGGAAUCUUGCGCAAUGGGCGAAAGCCUGACGCAGCCAUGCCGCGUGAAUGAUGAAGGUCUUAGGAUUGUAAAAUUCUUUCACCGGGGACGAUAAUGACGGUACCCGGAGAAGAAGCCCCGGCUAACUUCGUGCCAGCAGCCGCGGUAAUACGAAGGGGGCUAGCGUUGCUCGGAAUUACUGGGCGUAAAGGGAGCGUAGGCGGAUAGUUUAGUCAGAGGUGAAAGCCCAGGGCUCAACCUUGGAGUUGCCUUUGAUACUGGCUAUCUUGAGUAUGGAAGAGGUAUGUGGAACUCCGAGUGUAGAGGUGAAAUUCGUAGAUAUUCGGAAGAACACCAGUGGCGAAGGCGACAUACUGGUCCAUUACUGACGCUGAGGCUCGAAAGCGUGGGGAGCAAACAGG
rnacentral:rRNA from 1 species